UACGGAAGGCAGCAGUGGGGAAUAUUGGACAAUGGGCGAAAGCCUGAUCCAGCCAUGCCGCAUGAGUGAAGAAGGCCUUCGGGUUGUAAAGCUCUUUUAGUGAGAAAGAUAAUGACGGUACUCACAGAAGAAGUCCUGGCUAACUCCGUGCCAGCAGCCGCGGUAAUACGGAGAGGACUAGCGUUAUUCGGAAUUAUUGGGCGUAAAGAGCGCGUAGGCUGAUUAGUAAGUUAAAAGUGAAAUCCCAAAGCUUAACUUUGGAAUUGCUUUUUAAAACUGCUAGUCUAGAGAUUGAAAGAGGAUAGAGGAAUUCCUAGUGUAGAGGUGAAAUUCGUAAAUAUUAGGAGGAACACCAGUGGCGAAGGCGUCUAUCUGGUUCAAAUCUGACGCUGAGGCGCGAAGGGCGUGGGGAGCAAACAGGGAUUAGAUACC
rnacentral:rRNA from 1 species